AGAGCAAUUGCUGGGUCGUAUGGUAAGAGGAUGCUUGGUUUUGUAAGAAAUUGCCAAACUAUCUUCCAAAAUGGCUGUACCAUUUUACAUCCCCACCAGCAAU
rnacentral:pre_miRNA from 1 species